AUAAGUUUGGUCUGUUUUACCGAGAAGG
rnacentral:tRNA from 7 species